UACGGAGGGUGCAAGCGUUAAUCGGAAUUACUGGGCGUAAAGCGCACGCAGGCGGUUUGUUAAGUCAGAUGUGAAAUCCCCGCGCUUAACGUGGGAACUGCAUUUGAAACUGGCAAGCUAGAGUCUUGUAGAGGGGGGUAGAAUUCCAGGUGUAGCGGUGAAAUGCGUAGAGAUCUGGAGGAAUACCGGUGGCGAAGGCGGCCCCCUGGACAAAGACUGACGCUCAGGUGCGAAAGCGUCGGGAGCAAACAGG
rnacentral:rRNA from 1 species